rnacentral:rRNA from 1 species
UACGUAGGGGGCAAGCGUUGUCCGGAUUUAUUGGGCGUAAAGAGCUCGUAGGCGGUUCGCUAAGUCGGGUGUGAAACCUCCAGGCUCAACCUGGAGACGCCACCUGAUACUGGUGUGACUAGAGUCCGGUAGGGGAGUGUGGAACUCCUGGUGUAGAGGUGAAAUGCGCAGAUAUCAGGAAGAACACCAGCGGCGAAGGCGGCACUCUGGGCCGGUACUGACGCUGAGGAGCGAAAGCGUGGGUAGCAAACAGG